UUUUCUUCGUUUUAUCUUGUUAUGUAUUUUUGUUCGAUCCAAUUAUAAUUUCCAACAUAUUUUCUUAUUCUGUAUUGUAAUUUAUUAAAAAUGAAUCUAUUUGUUUAUUUUAUUUCACACAAUUUGUACAACAAGCUUCGCUGCUUAAACUCAACAAAUCCCAAUAACAACACUACAUAUGUAUAUACAGGUUUGUGUACAUAUGUUGUAGAGGAAGAGAAAAGAUAAGAAAGCGAAAAAAAACGCCGAUGUUAUCUCUACCGCUUAUCUCUCUCUCAAUUCCUAAGACCCUAGGUAGAAGAGGAAAUGGAGGUGGUGGUGGUAGUGGAUUUGCUACCGUUGUAGAUCGAUCUGCGAGAUCUACACAGAUCAACACAUAACUCAGAUCUGUGUGGCCGCCAACGAUCUUAGACUCUGUGAUAAUCUCAGAGAGAGAAAGUGAGGAAAGACAAAGAGAGAAAGAAGAAGGAGAAAGCUACGGCGGCAAAGUGGUGGUGGAUUUAAAGAAUGGGAGCUUGAGACUAGAAUGUGGGCAAGUGCUGAUCAGUUUCCACCAUCUCUCAUCUAGCUUUGUAACAGAUCAGAAACCAAACCUUAGAAGUUUGUAUAUAUAUAUAUAUAUAUAUAUAGAGAGAGAGAGAGAGAGAGAGAGAGAGAGAGUCACCGAUUUUCUUCACUUUCGAUGGAGGUGAUUCGUUAAUGGUGGCGUUGGUGGUCAGAGACGAUGGAGGUAAUGGAUGUGGCUCGAUGAUGGUAGUCUUUGUGUUUGUAUGUGUGUUUGUGUGUGUGUGUGUGUAUGUAAAGAUGGUAGUGGCAGUUUGAGGAGAAAAAAAAAUGGAGUGGAGGUUGCUCUGAAGGAAUGCCUAUAAGGUGUUUGAGGAAAUGCCACUUAAGUGUGUGAGGUUCUACAUUGCCUUUAUUCUACUUUCACAGCUUUCUUCUCAUUCUCAGUGUAUUUGUAUUGUACAUAAUAACACAACUCAACACUCACAGAGAUAGACUCAUCACAUCAUCUUAUCUUUUCUUUUCUUUUCAAUUUAGAUUUCUCCAAUUCAUUGCA